UGGAUCUAUUCUAUGGAAAAGAGUGCAUAAAA
rnacentral:piRNA from 1 species